AAGAGCCGUAUGAGUCGAGAGUUUCACGUACGGUUCUGUGAGAAGCUGAAGGGUGAGAUUCCCUUCGGCUUACUCGAC
rnacentral:ncRNA from 1 species